UAUAUAGCCUUGGCCGACAGGCCCGGGUAAUCUUGGGAAAUUUCAUCGUGAUGGGGAUAGAUCAUUGCAAUUGUUGGUCUUCAACGAGGAAUGCCUAGUAAGCGUGAGUCAUCAGCUCGCGUUGACUACGUCCCUGCCCUUUGUACACACCGCCCGUCGCUCCUACCGAUUGAAUGGUCCGGUGAAGUGUUCGGAUCGCACCGCCCCCGACGUCGCGAGAAGUCCAUUGAACCUUAUCAUUUAGAGGAAGGAGAAGUCGUAACAAGGUUUCCGUAGGUGAACCUGCGGAAGGAUCAUUG
rnacentral:ncRNA from 1 species